rnacentral:rRNA from 1 species
AUACGGAGGGAGCGAGCGUUAAUCGGAAUUACUGGGCGUAAAGCGCGCGUAGGCGGCUUUGUAAGUCGGAUGUGAAAGCCCUGGGCUUAACCUGGGAAUGGCAUUCGAUACUGCAGAGCUAGAGUAUGGUAGAGGGAAGUGGAAUUUCCGGUGUAGCGGUGAAAUGCGUAGAUAUCGGGAGGAACAUCAGUGGCGAAGGCGGCUUUCUGGACCAAUACUGACGCUGAGGUGCGAAAGCGUGGGGAGCAAACAGGAUUAGAAACCCCAGUAGUCC